GAACGCGAAGAACCUUACCCGGGCUUGAACUGCCGGCGAACGAUACAGAGAUGUUGAGGCCCUUCGGGGCGCCGGUGGAGGUGCUGCAUGGUUGUCGUCAGCUCGUGCCGUGAGGUGUCGGCUUAAGUGCCAUAACGAGCGCAACCCCUCUCUUUAGUUGCCAUCAGGUUAAGCUGGGCACUCUGAAGACACUGCCACCGUAAGGUGUGAGGAAGGUGGGGAUGACGUCAAAUCAGCACGGCCCUUACGUCCGGGGCUACACACGUGUUACAAUGGGGGGUACAGAAAGUCGGUGUGAUGUAAAUCACAUCUAAUCCUUAAAGCCCUCCUCAGUUCGGACUGGGGUCUGCAACCCGACCCCACGAAGCUGGAUUCGCUAGUAAUCGCGCAUCAGCCAUGGCGCGGUGAAUACGUUCCCGGGUCUUGUACACACC
rnacentral:rRNA from 1 species